rnacentral:lncRNA from 1 species
CACGACGUCACAAAGACGUCUUUUUAUAGUUGUUUUGGGGUCGCGACGUCGGUGACCAGAAUCCGACGUUGUUCCAACGACUUUACACCGACCAAAGUCCGACGUCGCUAUCCCGACGUUGUUCCAACGGCUUUACAGCGGCCAAAAUCCGACGUCGCUAUCCCGACGUUGUUCCAACGGCUUUACAGCGACCAAAAUCCAACAUCGCUAUUCCGACGUUGUAAAAACGUUGGAACAACGUCAUUAGAUCUACUGUAACUUUAAAAUAUUUCAAGCUGCAAAAAUAAUUUCAUUGCGUGAAUACUUUAUUGCAUUUUUGUCGUUUAGCGUCAUUCGUGAGGUUAGUAACAUUAACUCGAAAGAGUUCUGUCUCAUGAUUUCCGACAUGUGUUCGAAAUUGACCAAUCAAAACAGGUCUAACUCACGUGCCUUUUUGCUCUCGUUCAUGUUGUUGAUCGGAGUUUUGAAAACUUGUGAAAGUAUUUAAAAAGCGCCCUGUGCAGAUUAUAUGUCAGAUCAUGGCUUCUCCACCUGUUUCCAUGUUGUCUGCUGUUGGAAGAACAUCUCUGAGGGAUUGUGAAUAGAAUCUUUAUCUUCUGCUUAUAUACAACACUUACUCAUGGGCCAGUGGCACAAUUUCUAGCUGUACAAGGAUAUCAUGGUGUUUGAUAUGUUGAUGACAAUGAAACUAAUGACCAUGUUAACAUCAGAGGAAAAGCAAACUGGGAGAAGAAAGGACAACAUUGUUUUCAAUUUUGAAGGCCUGCAUAGACAUAGGACCAGGAAGGGGAGCUAGGAGUGGGAGAAGUGCCUGUGACUGAUAUGCACUGUCAGAUAGAAAUCCAGUUCAAAAGGAAAUCUGAAGUAGUGAAAUAGCAGAAAUCAUGACUUACAUACUGUAUAAUCUGCUCUAAAACACAAACAUUUUUAUUUAAAAUGUGUUAAAUGCAAAACAGUUUUACUUACAAAAUGAAUCUUUCAGUAAAUUCUAAAUGCAGCUGAAAAGUGAUAUACAUGAAAUGUGUCAAAACAGUGCAAGUUAAGUUUGAUUUUUUGUUGUAGACAAAACUGAAGAACUUGUAUCCAAUUCAUUUUCUGGAUGCACAGUGUUAUUGGAAUUUUUUUCAGAUAAUUUAAAAUUCUACAAGGUGAAGAAAUUUCAAAUAGUAUCUCAAGAAAAAAAAGUUUUAUGCACAAUGAAUUGUUUCUCAAAAAAUUGCAGUUGUUUGUUCAUUGUUUUGCCAGUCCAUUACACUUAAACUUUACUUUAUUUACUCUUAAUAUUUUUGUGAAUGGAUUAGAUUACUUAUUCAC